GUACACGCGCUGUCCUCUCUGUACGCUCUAUCACUUUUCGCUAUCAUUCGCACGGAGGCAUUUAAGCAGAACAGUCGAUAAUCGGUCCGGUAUUAUAAAUCGCGUUAUCUGAAAUCUUGAUCGCGGUGAAAAUUUGAAGAUUCUUCUAAUACAUAGUCGCGGUCAAUUUGACGACGCAUUUUCUGAUUUUUCUUUGUCACUGUUGCCUGCUUCGGACAUUGCGAGUAUUGAACGAUUUGUAGCUUCGUGCGAAUAAUUUUUUCGAAUUACUUCUUUAUCAAAAAAUGACAAAGUGCGCGUCGGGAGUGUAAUUUCGCGAGUGUGUGCUAUCGAAGGAGCAGCCGUCGAUGGACUGAGAGGAGGAGGGGGCUCAGGAGGAGCAUCAGGCGCCGGCAGAGCAACGCUUAGAUCAACGUGUAUACUACAACUCCGCUGUUGCACAUCGUGUCGGAGCAGGUGGCCCUUGCGCGAGGGAUGCCUGUCGAUGGAGAGUGGAAGCACGCCCACCACCCGUCUUCCCGUCGUACUUAAGGACGAAA